rnacentral:rRNA from 1 species
AACGUAGGUACCGAGCGUUAUCCGGAUUUACUGGGCGUAAAGCGCGUUCAGGCGGUUUGACAAGUCGGGCAUGAAAUCUCUCGGCUCAACCGGGGGAGGUUGUCCGAUACUGUCGGACUGGAGGGCAGUAGAGGGUGGUGGAAUUCCGGGUGUAGUGGUGAAAUGCGUAGAGAUCCGGAGGAACACCAGUGGCGAAAGCGGCCACCUGGACUGUACCUGACGCUGAAACGCGAAAGCUAGGGGAGCGAACGGG